rnacentral:misc_RNA from 1 species
AUGACCAAAACCUUUGUUAUUUAUAAUGGUUUAAAUCCAAUCCAAUGAAAGACACGUACAUUUGCCAAAAUUGGAUUGAAGCUUCAUGCAUGCCACCAUAGGAUGUGGAGUAGGUUGAGAUUUUUUAGCCUUUUGACAGGGGAGAAUGCUUCCAAUGCCUGACUCGUUCAAUUGCUAUAUUUCUCGUGUUAGGAUUUAACUUUUUA